AUUUGAUUCUUCCUUAGAAAAGGGACUACAAGCUCUACUGUGAAAGAAUGAUCAAUCUAAAAGGCUAUAAGUGAGUUAUAGAACCACUUGUUGUCAAGUUUAAUUACAGGCAGAAAGAAGUGUAUGUGAUGGUAAAGUCACAUAUAAAAGAUAAGACAUGGACACUUUGGAAGGUUCUUUCCAAGAGAGGGCCUAUGUUGCUGCCACUACCAUCCAGUGAAAGGCUGAGCUGUGACUCCUACACAUCACUUUCCUCCUCCUAGUCAUUCUCAGCAAGAUGAACCUCUGGUGAAGUAUGCUGAAGUUUACCUGAAGAAGACUUGAGCUGAAUUUUUCUACCUGACCCUACUGUCCUAAUAAGGGCUUCUCCAGAGUCCUGUAAUAUCCUGGGAAUUUUGUUGAUGGCUGAAAGAUUAUAAACUGUCUUUCCUAAGUUUUAUAUUGUAAUAAAAAUUUUAUAUUGUCAGUGACUCA
rnacentral:lncRNA from 1 species